AUACGGAGGCUGCAAGCGUUAAUCGGAAUUACUGGGCGUAAAGCGUACGUAGGCGGUCCGUUAAGUUAGAUGUGAAAGCCCCGGGCUUAACCUGGGAACUGCAUUUAAAACUGGCGGACUAGAGUUGAGUAGAGGGGAGUGGAAUUUCAGGUGUAGCGGUGAAAUGCGUAGAGAUCUGAAGGAACACCAGUGGCGAAGGCGACUCCCUGGACUCGAACUGACGCUGAGGUACGAAAGCGUGGGUAGCAAACGGGAUUAGAAACCCGAGUAGUCC
rnacentral:rRNA from 1 species